rnacentral:ncRNA from 1 species
GAGUUGUAUGAAAGGAGAGAAGGUUAGACUCCCCUUAAGAAGGAUGGAAGAGGUCCUAGUAGCCUUUACAACACAUAUGGUUAAGGCAUUCUCCGCCCCUGUCCUCU